UUUAAUACAUGUAUUGAAGAAAUACAUUUUCUAAUAAAUCUAUUCUAUUUUGGCCUAGACAUCAGUACAGUUGUCCUUUGUUGGAACAAGUUGGACAGUGGGGGUAGGUGUGGACAGCCAUCAUCACCCCAGUAGCCCUCUUCGCUCUCCCUCCAUCCAUCCUUCCUUCCUCCCUCCACCCCCGCCCUGCCUUGCUCCUUCACAUGGCUACUGUACUGAAUAGUGAUGAGAGAUUUACAGACUGAUGCGGGUCAAGGAAGUAUUGUAAUGCAUCUGGGAAAGAGAUGAGGAAGGUGGGGGUGAUAAAACUGUUGGUUGAUAGGGAUCUGAACCCAGGAGACAUGCAGUUGUUGUCCAUGCUGUUCCAGCCCCCUGGCACGUACACAAACUGCCGUGUUCUUGUUUUAUCUGAUUCUGCUGCAGCCUAACUUCCUACUGCUUUCACACUACAGUCCUCGCAUGGCACAUAUCCAUUAACAUCAGGGGCUCAGAGGUUCAA